GAUGAACGCUGGCGGCGUGCCUAAUACAUGCAAGUCGAGCGAACGGACGAGAAGCUUGCUUCUCUGAUGUUAGCGGCGGACGGGUGAGUAACACGUGGAUAACCUACCUAUAAGACUGGGAUAACUUCGGGAAACCGGAGCUAAUACCGGAUAAUAUUUUGAACCGCAUGGUUCAAAAGUGAAAGACGGUCUUGCUGUCACUUAUAGAUGGAUCCGCGCUGCAUUAGCUAGUUGGUAAGGUAACGGCUUACCAAGGCAACGAUGCAUAGCCGACCUGAGAGGGUGAUCGGCCACACUGGAACUGAGACACGGUCCAGACUCCUACGGGAGGCAGCAGUAGGGAAUCUUCCGCAAUGGGCGAAAGCCUGACGGAGCAACGCCGCGUGAGUGAUGAAGGUCUUCGGAUCGUAAAACUCUGUUAUUAGGGAAGAACAUAUGUGUAAGUAACUGUGCACAUCUUGACGGUACCUAAUCAGAAAGCCACGGCUAACUACGUGCCAGCAGCCGCGGUAAUACGUAGGUGGCAAGCGUUAUCCGGAAUUAUUGGGCGUAAAGCGCGCGUAGGCGGUUUUUUAAGUCUGAUGUGAAAGCCCACGGCUCAACCGUGGAGGGUCAUUGGAAACUGGAAAACUUGAGUGCAGAAGAGGAAAGUGGAAUUCCAUGUGUAGCGGUGAAAUGCGCAGAGAUAUGGAGGAACACCAGUGGCGAAGGCGACUUUCUGGUCUGUAACUGACGCUGAUGUGCGAAAGCGUGGGGAUCAAACAGGAUUAGAUACCCUGGUAGUCCACGCCGUAAACGAUGAGUGCUAAGUGUUAGGGGGUUUCCGCCCCUUAGUGCUGCAGCUAACGCAUUAAGCACUCCGCCUGGGGAGUACGACCGCAGGGUUGAAACUCAAAGGAAUUGACGGGGACCCGCACAAGCGGUGGAGCAUGUGGUUUAAUUCGAAGCAACGCGAAGAACCUUACCAAAUCUUGACAUCCUUUGACAACUCUAGAGAUAGAGCCUUCCCCUUCGGGGGACAAAGUGACAGGUGGUGCAUGGUUGUCGUCAGCUCGUGUCGUGAGAUGUUGGGUUAAGUCCCGCAACGAGCGCAACCCUUAAGCUUAGUUGCCAUCAUUAAGUUGGGCACUCUAAGUUGACUGCCGGUGACAAACCGGAGGAAGGUGGGGAUGACGUCAAAUCAUCAUGCCCCUUAUGAUUUGGGCUACACACGUGCUACAAUGGACAAUACAAAGGGUAGCGAAACCGCGAGGUCAAGCAAAUCCCAUAAAGUUGUUCUCAGUUCGGAUUGUAGUCUGCAACUCGACUACAUGAAGCUGGAAUCGCUAGUAAUCGUAGAUCAGCAUGCUACGGUGAAUACGUUCCCGGGUCU
rnacentral:rRNA from 1 species